AACGAACGCUGGCGGCGCGCCUAAUACAUGCAAGUCGAGCGAGAAGACGUAGCAAUACGUUUGUAAAGCGGCGAACGGGUGAGGAAUACAUGGGUAACCUACCCUCGAGUGGGGAAUAACUAGCCGAAAGGUUAGCUAAUACCGCGUACGCUCCUUGGACUUCGGUUCAGGGAGGAAAGCGAUACCGUGGGUAUCGCGCUCUUGGAUGGGCUCAUGUCCUAUCAGCUUGUUGGUGAGGAACGGCUCACCAAGGCUUCGACGGGUAGCUGGUCUGAGAGGACGAUCAGCCACACUGGCACUGCGACACGGGCCAGACUCCUACGGGAGGCAGCAGUAAGGAAUAUUGCGCAAUGGGCGAAAGCCUGACGCAGCGACGCCGCGUGGGGGAUGAAGGUCUUCGGAUUGUAAA
rnacentral:rRNA from 1 species